rnacentral:tRNA from 1 species
GAGGGUAUAACUCAGUGGUAGAGUGUGUGCCUAGCAUGUACAAGGUCCUGGGUUCAAUUCCUAGUACCUCCA